GUUGGGCCUGCUCGGUGAGAAGAAAAAUUUAACAGCUGCGGUAUUAUAACUGUACUAAGGUAGCAUAAUAAUUUGCCUUAUAAAUUAAGGCUAGAAUGAAUGGUUUGACGAAAAUUAGACUGUCUUUAUUUUAUUUGUUAGAAAUUAAUUUUUAUAGUGAAAAAGCUUGAAUAAUUUAAGGGGACGAGAAGACCCUAUUGAGUUUUAUUUAUUAAUAUUUAAAUAUAAAUAUAUAAUUUAUAUUAUGAAAAUUAUGUUGUAUAUAUAUAUAUUUAAUUGGAUUUAAUUUUGAUUGGGGUGAUCAAGGAAUAAAGAUAAAGUAACUUCCUUAAAAUUAAUGAUUGUUUUUAUAGAGUAAUAAACCAAGUUUUUUGCUUAUAAGAUAAGUUACCAUAGGGGUAACAGCGUAAUUUUUUUUGAGAGUUCAUAUUGAAAAAAGAGAUUGCGACCUCGAUGUUGGAUUAAAAAUUACCUUAAGG
rnacentral:rRNA from 1 species